ncrna:Ralstonia solanacearum GMI1000 Fluoride riboswitch
CCGGCCUGCGGAGAUGGCAUGCCUCCCUUAACCGCCGAUCCCAUCGGCUGAUGAUGCCUACAGGUUC